rnacentral:rRNA from 1 species
GUUAAUAAAUCAAAUUUAAUUUUGCAUUUUACCAAUGAUGAGAUUCUUCAUAAUGCAAAUCAACUACGGGUUUCACUUGGUAGUAAUGAUAGUGAGAUCACUAAAUUAGUUAAUGACAUUCUUGAUUUAGAAGCAGAGCGGGCAUUGGAAAUUAUUUGUAACAUUGCUGCCGUUAAACCCAUGAAUGAGUCGGACAUUGAUGCGCUAGGGGUCAGGGCUGUUGAUGGUUUGUGUGCCGAUCUUGACCCUUCUUUGCCUAAGAUGGAGGAGGAGGAGGGAUUCGGUUUUCCUGAGGCCUCUAACCAUGUAAAUGGGUCGUUGGUGAUUGCGGCUGAGCCCGGGUGUGGUGACCGACCUAAGGAUCGCAUUAAGCCUAAGCGAACAUGGAAACGGAAGGUUUAUCCAGUGUCGGCUGUGCGUAGAAGUGCUAGGAUCCAUACCUCUAAAAAAAUUCAUGAUGAAAUAUGA